rnacentral:sRNA from 1 species
AGCUAGGAAUUUAACUUGAGUCUAGUGCAGACCUGUCUCCUCGCCCACCUGGAGUUUGUGUUGUGACCUCUCUGUGCCACCACCACCUGGAGAAUUGAGACCUUGGGACAAUGGCACCUAUCACUCUCGAGAUGAGAGUACAGACAGUGGACUAAGCAUGAGCAGCUACAGUGUCCCUCGAACCCCAGAUGACUUCCUGAACAGCGUGGAUGAGAUGGAUACAGGUGAUACUAUCAACCAAAGCACCCUGCCCUCACAGCAGAACCGUUUCCCAGACUACCUUGAAGCCAUUCCUGGGACAAAUGUGGACCUUGGAACACUGGAAGGAGAUGGAAUGAACAUAGAAGGAGAGGAGCUGAUGCCAAGUCUGCAGGAAGCUUUGAGUUCUGACAUCCUUAAUGACAUGGAGUCUGUUUUGGCUGCCACCAAGCUAGAUAAAGAAAGCUUUCUUACAUGGUUAUAGAGCCCUCAGGCAGACUGAAUUCUAAAUCUGUGAAGGAUCUAAGGAGACACAUGCACCGGAAAUUUCCAUAAGCCAGUUGCAGUUUUCAGGCUAAUACAGAAAAAGAUGAACAAACGUCCAGCAAGAUACUUUAAUCCUCUGUUUUGCUCUUCCUUGUCCAUUGCUGCUGUUAAUGUAUUGCUGACCUCUUUCACAGUUGGCUCUAAAGAAUCAAAAAAAAAGAAAAAAACUUUUUAUUUCUUUUGCUAUUAUAACUACUGUUCAUUUUGGGGGCUGGGGGAAGUGAGCCUGUUUGGAUGAUGGAUGCCAUUCCUUUUGCCCAGUUAAAUGUUCACCAAUCAUUUUAACUAAAUACUCAGAAGUCAGAUGCUUCAUGUCACAGCAUUUAGUUUGUUCAACAGUUGUUUCUUCAGCUUCCUUUGUCCAGUGGAAAAACAUGAUUUACUGGUCUGACAAGCCAAAAAUGUUAUAUCUGAUAUUAAAUACUUAAUGCUGAUUUGAAGAGAUAGCUGAAACCAAGGCUGAAGACUGUUUUACUUUCAGUAUUUUCUUUUCCUCCUA